rfam:Oryza glumipatula chromosome 1, whole genome shotgun sequence.
AAAUAAUACAGCCAUGAGUUUCCGUGUCUAACUUUGAUCGUCCGUUUUAUUUGAAAUUUUUUUAUAAUUAGUAUUUUUGUUGUUAUAAGAUGAUAAAACAUGAAUAAUACUUUACUCGUUACUUAUGUUUUUAAUUUUUUUUAAAAAAAUUUUAAAUAAAAUGAAUGGUCAAAGUUGGGCGUUGAAAACCAUGGCUGCACUUAUU